GACGAACGCUGGCGGCGUGCUUAACACAUGCCAGUCGAACGGUGAUGCUCCAGCUUGCUAGAGUGGAUCAGUGGCGAACGGGUGAGUAACACGUGAGCAACCUGCCCCAGACUCUGGAAUAAGCGCUGGAAACGGCGUCUAAUACUGGAUACGAAACUGGCCCGCAUGGGCAUGGUUUGGAAAGUUUUUCGGUUUGGGAUGGGCUCGCGGCCUAUCAGCUUGUUGGUGAGGUAAUGGCUCACCAAGGCGACGACGGGUAGCCGGCCUGAGAGGGCGACCGGCCACACUGGGACUGAGACACGGCCCAGACUCCUACGGGAGGCAGCAGUGGGGAAUAUUGCACAAUGGGCGAAAGCCUGAUGCAGCGACGCCGCGUGAGGGAUGACGGCCUUCGGGUUGGAAACCUCUUUCAGCAGGGAAGAAGCGAAAGUGACGGUACCUGCAGAAGAAGCACCGGCUAACUACGUGC
rnacentral:rRNA from 1 species